rnacentral:rRNA from 1 species
UACGAAGGGUGCAAGCGUUGUUCGGAAUCACUGGGCGUAAAGAAUGCGUAGGCGGCUUAACAAGUCGGGAGUGAAAGCCCAGGGCUCAACCCUGGAACUGCUCUCGAAACUGUUUUGCUAGAGUCCCGGAGGGGUUAGCGGAAUUCCGAGUGUAGAGGUGAAAUUCGCAGAUAUUCGGAGGAACACCAGUGGCGAAGGCGGCUAACUGGACGAAUACUGACGCUGAGACUCGAAAGCGUGGGGAGCAAACAGG